rnacentral:rRNA from 1 species
UACGUAGGGUGCAAGCGUUGUCCGGAAUUAUUGGGCGUAAAGAGCUCGUAGGCGGUUUGUCGCGUCUGCUGUGAAAACUCGGGGCUUAACCCCGGGCCUGCAGUGGGUACGGGCAGACUAGAGUGCGGUAGGGGAGACUGGAAUUCCUGGUGUAGCGGUGAAAUGCGCAGAUAUCAGGAGGAACACCGAUGGCGAAGGCAGGUCUCUGGGCAUUAACUGACGCUGAGGAGCGAAAGCGUGGGGAGCAAACAGG